rnacentral:rRNA from 1 species
UACGGGGGGGGUAAGGCGUUGUUCGGAAUUACUGGGCGUAAAUGGGCUCGUAGGCGGCCAACUAAGUCAGACGUGAAAUCCCUCAGCUUAACUGGGGAACUGUCGUCUGAUACUGGAUGGCUGGAUUCGGGAGAGGAAUGCGGAAUUCCAGGUGUAGCGGUGAAAUGCGUAGAUAUCUGGAGGAACACCGGUGGCGAAGGCGGCAUUCUGGACCGAUAUUGACGCUGAGGAGCGAAAGCCACGGGGAGCAAAGCGGG